AGCAGCCGCGGUAAUUCCAGCUCCAAUAGCGUAUAUUAAAGUUGUUGCAGUUAAAAAGCUCGUAGUUGAAUUUCGAGACCGGUUUAUUGGUCGUGCUUUUGUACGUAUUGGUAUUAUUGGUUUCUCCUUUCUGACGAAUCUUAAUGCCAUUUAAUUUGGUGUUUUGGGGAAUCAGGACUGUUACUUUGAAAAAAUUAGAGUGUUUAAAGCAGGCUCACGCUUGAAUACAUUAGCAUGGAAUAACGGAAUAGGACGUUUGAUUCUAUUUUGUUGGUUUCUAGGAUCGACGUAAUGAUUAAUAGGGAUAGUUGGGGGCAUUAGUAUUCAAUUGUCAGAGGUGAAAUUCUUGGAUUUAUUGAAGACUAACUACUGCGAAAGCAUUUGCCAAGGAUGUUUUCGUUAAUCAAGAACGAAAGUUAGGGGAUCGAAGACGAUCAGAUACCGUCGUAGUCUUAACCAUAAACUAUGCCGACUAGGGAUCGGAUGAUGUUAAUUUUUAAUGACUCAUUCG
rnacentral:rRNA from 1 species